UGGGAAGUAUUGCACAAUGGGCGGCAAGCCAUGACUGCAGCCAUGCCGCGCUGUAUGAAGAAGGCCAAUUCGGGGCUUUGGUUAAAGAUACUUUCAGCGAGGAGGAAGGCGUUGUGGUUAAUAACCGCAGCGAUUGACGUUACUCGCAGAAGAAGCACCGGCUAACUCCGUGCCAGCAGCCGCGGUAAUACGGAGGGUGCAAGCGUUAAUCGGAAUUACUGGGCGUAAAGCGCACGCAGGCGGUCUGUCAAGUCGGAUGUGAAAUCCCCGGGCUCAACCUGGGAACUGCAUCCGAAACUGGCAGGCUAGAGUCUUGUAGA
rnacentral:rRNA from 1 species